rnacentral:lncRNA from 1 species
ACAAAACAUGCAUUCAAAUGUGAUUGAGAAGGAAAAAAACGUCCCAACUCCCUGAUUUGCAGGGCAAAAUACAAUGAUUAGGACAUCCAAGGUUUGUGCCGUGGACGCUGCCUAAAUCCACAUAUAGAAUUUAGUUUAUUUUGUAUGGUUCAAAACACAGAUGAUUUAAGUUAUUAAACUAUUUACUUGUUCUGUUAAAAUUAGAUCAUCAAAUCUAUUCUAUUAAAAAUGUUAAUUAUUUUGGAGUUUUGCAUUUGUUUAUCUAUUAACUCUUUAAUUGUCGCAUUUUUACUGUAUUAUUGCAUCAAUUUAACUCUAGUGGA